rnacentral:lncRNA from 1 species
CGUGGUCCAAUGAAAACUAUCUCUUGCUUUUACAGAGUAAGCAUAUAAAACAUUGUUUUAGUCUUUGCAUGCUAUAAAACGAGAGGGAGGAGUAUUACCCAAAAUUAUUAGGCAUCGUUCUUAAAAUUUUGGGAAGAAUUUAGUUACAUGUACUCGUAUCUAAUGUAAUUGUCAUUGAGGAAAUGCAAGCUUUUAGUAAAUAGUGUCACACUUAUUUAAGCCAUGAUGAACUACAUAAAACAUUCAAUCACAUGAAAACACAUUUUGCCAACAUAAGUCAUGAAAC